GAUGAACGCUGGCGGCGUGCCUAAUACAUGCAAGUCGAGCGAACAGAUAAGGAGCUUGCUCCUUUGACGUUAGCGGCGGACGGGUGAGUAACACGUGGGUAACCUACCUAUAAGACUGGGAUAACUUCGGGAAACCGGAGCUAAUACCGGAUAACAUUUGGAACCGCAUGGUUCUAAAGUGAAAUAUGGUUUUGCUAUCACUUAUAGAUGGACCCGCGCCGUAUUAGCUAGUUGGUAAGGUAACGGCUUACCAAGGCGACGAUACGUAGCCGACCUGAGAGGGUGAUCGGCCACACUGGAACUGAGACACGGUCCAGACUCCUACGGGAGGCAGCAGUAGGGAAUCUUCCGCAAUGGGCGAAAGCCUGACGGAGCAACGCCGCGUGAGUGAUGAAGGGUUUCGGCUCGUAAAACUCUGUUAUUAGGGAAGAACAAACGUGUAAGUAACUGUGCACGUCUUGACGGUACCUAAUCAGAAAGCCACGGCUAACUACGUG
rnacentral:rRNA from 1 species